rnacentral:rRNA from 1 species
AAUGAACGCUGGCGGCGCGCCUAAUACAUGCAAGUCGAGCGAGAAGACGUAGCAAUACGUUUGUAAAGCGGCGAACGGGUGAGGAAUACAUGGGUAACCUACCCUAGAGUGGGGAAUAACUAGCCGAAAGGUUAGCUAAUACCGCGUACGCUCCUUGGACUUCGGUUCAGGGAGGAAAGCGAUGCCGAGGGUAUCGCGCUCUUGGAUGGGCUCAUGUCCUAUCAGCUUGNGGUGAGGUAACGGCUCACCAAGGCUUCGACGGGUAGCUGGUCUGAGAGGACGAUCAGCCACACUGGCACUGCGACACGGGCCAGACUCCUACGGGAGGCGGCAGUAAGGAAUAUUGCGCAAUGGGCGAAAGCCUGACGCAGCGACGCCGCGUGGGGGA